ensembl:lncRNA
GUCGAAUUAACACUUACAGCAUCAAAUUUAAACCCUAACUUUUACAGUAGAUGUAAAUACUGGAUGCUUUUGCAAAAUGUCAUGAAUAUCAUUUAUUUUUAUUUACUUAGCUAUUUAUUAAGUGUGCAGGACGUUACCUUUAAAUCAUUUUCAAUGUUGAGAAACACAGUCAUUACAGUGGGGUCCCUUAUUAUUAGUAUUUUUAUUAGUAUUAGUAGUAGUGGUAGUAAUAGUGGUAGUAGUAGUAAUGGUAAUGGUUGUAUUGGUAGUGGUAAUAGUAGUGGUAGUAGUACUAGUGGUGGUAGCAGUAGUAGUAAUGGUAGUAGUAGGGUUGUAGCAGUAGUGGUGGUAGUAGUGGUGGUGGUAGUGAUAGUAGUAGUAGAGGUAGCAGUAGUGGUGGUAAUAGCAGUAGUGGUGGUAGUGGUGAUAGUAGUGGUGUUGGUGGUAGUAGUAGUAGAGAUAGCAGUAGUGGUGGUAGUGGUGAUAGUAGUGGUGUUGGUGGUAGUAGUAGUAGAGGUAGCAGUAGUGGUGGUAAUGGUGAUAGUGCUGUUAGUAGUAGUAGUAGGGUAGUAGUAGUAGUGGUGGUGAGGUUGGUAGUAGUAGAGGUAGCAGUAGUGGUGAUAGUAGAAGUAGAGGUAGCAGUAGUGGUGUUAGUAGUAGUAGGGUGUUAGUAGUAGUAGUGGUGGUGUUAGUAGAAGUAGUAGUAGUAGAGAUAGC